CCCAACAGUGGAGAGUUCUAAGAAUUUAGAGGUGAAAGGGUGCCUUAGAGAUGCCUGGAACUCUGCCUUGGGGAGAUUGGAAGCAGUAUGUGCUUUACUUUGGAGCAGACAGGGUGGGAUGCAGACAAUCCCAGAAGCUGUAGGACAAGCCCUAGACACCAGGGGCUUCUGUGGUCUGUGGUGGGUGACUACAGAACUGGCCAUGAAGAUGAACGAAAGCAUACAGGAUAUGCCUCAGAGGCUGGAAGUAGUUCUCAGUUAGAGAUGGAUUCUAGGUGCCAGGACAUCAAGGACUUGCAUAAGCAACAGAGUUGGCCAGGAGGCUCAGGAGGCCCAGAGAAGAUCAUAGUGACAACAUUUGUGACAGCAAGGGCUUGAACAAAAAAUCUGAAAUGUGAAAUAAAUGGUAAUAUACCCCCUAAACAUCUUGAA